rnacentral:rRNA from 1 species
AUUGAACGCUAGCGGGAUGCUUUACACAUGCAAGUCGAACGGCAGCGCGGACUUCGGUCUGGCGGCGAGUGGCGAACGGGCGAGUAAUGUAUCGGAACGUGCCCAGUAGCGGGGGAUAACUACGCGAAAGCGUAGCUAAUACCGCAUACGCCCUACGGGGGAAAGCAGGGGAUCGUAAGACCUUGCACUAUUGGAGCGGCCGAUAUCGGAUUAGCUAGUUGGUGAGGUAACGGCUCACCAAGGCGACGAUCCGUAGCUGGUUUGAGAGGACGACCAGCCACACUGGGACUGAGACACGGCCCAGACUCCUACGGGAGGCAGCAGUGGGGAAUUUUGGACAAUGGGGGCAACCCUGAUCCAGCCAUCCCGCGUGUGCGAUGAAGGCCUUCGGGUUGUAAAGCACUUUUGGCAGGAAAGAAACGUCGCGGGCUAAUACCCCGUGGAACUGACGGUACCUGCAGAAUAAGCACCGGCUAACUACGUG